GGCAAAUCCUAGUCUAGUAUUUUCAACCAUUUUUGACAGAUGGAAGAACCACAAGAAUCCAGCCUGAACGAAGAGGUGCAUCCAAGUCUCACGAAAAUCAUUCAUGAACAGAUGGAUUUGAAGAGAAUAGCAGAUAUUGCAAUGGACCUUUAUGCCAUGACAGCAUGCAUUGGAAGGUCAUCUCGGUUGUAUUGCAUUGGCUUAAGAAAUGCAGAUCACGAGGUUAAUUAAACAUAAUUAUAGGUAAUGGAAAUACAUCUUAGACCUGUAAUCUAGUCUCCAUCAUAUAACAUUGCACACAUACAAUAUUAAUAAAUUAUAUACCGAUUUGUAUUUCAACUGGGUGGAGGACAAUGCAUAAUCCUUUCUUAGUAAACUUUGUGUGAAUUAAUUAUCAGUGGAUACUGCCAAUUGUCUUGAUGCAGCAAUGCAUCACCG